rnacentral:rRNA from 1 species
GACGAACGCUGGCGGCGUGCCUAAUACAUGCAAGUCGACGGGAGCUGACGGAUUGCUUGCACUCCUGAUGCUAGCGGCGGACGGGUGAGUAACACGUAGGUAACCUGCCUGUGAGACUGGGAUAACUACCGGAAACGGUAGCUAAUACCGGAUAGGCAUUUUCCUCGCAUGAGGGAAAUGGGAAAGACGGAGCAAUCUGUCACUUGCAGAUGGACCUGCGGCGCAUUAGCUAGUUGGUGGGGUAACGGCUCACCAAGGCGACGAUGCGUAGCCGACCUGAGAGGGUGAUCGGCCACACUGGGACUGAGACACGGCCCAGACUCCUACGGGAGGCAGCAGUAGGGAAUCUUCCGCAAUGGACGAAAGUCUGACGGAGCAACGCCGCGUGAGUGAUGAAGGCCUUCGGAUCGUAAAGCUCUGUUGCCAGGGAAGAACGCCAGGGAGAGUAACUGCUCU